rnacentral:rRNA from 1 species
GACGAACGCUGGCGGCGUGCUUAACACAUGCAAGUCGAACGGAAAGGCCCUGCUUUUGUGGGGUGCUCGAGUGGCGAACGGGUGAGUAACACGUGAGUAACCUGCCCCUGACUUUGGGAUAACUUCAGGAAACUGGGGCUAAUACCGGAUAGGAGCUCCUGCUGCAUGGUGGGGGUUGGAAAGUUUCGGCGGUUGGGGAUGGACUCGCGGGUUAUCAGCUUGUUGGUGGGGUAGUGGCUUACCAAGGCUUUGACGGGUAGCCGGCCUGAGAGGGUGAACGGCCACAUUGGGACUGAGAUACGGCCCAGACUCGUACGGGAGGCAGCAGUGGGGAAUAUUGCACAGUGGGCGGAAGCCUGAUGCAGCAACGCCGCGUGCGGGAUGACGGCCUUCGGGUUGUAAACCGCUUUCGCCUGUGACGAAGCGUGAGUGACGGUAAUGGGUAAAGAAGCACCGGCUAACUACGUG